AGUGAACGCUGGCGGUAGGCCUAACACAUGCAAGUCGAACGGCAGCACAGUAAGAGCUUGCUCUUACGGGUGGCGAGUGGCGGACGGGUGAGGAAUACAUCGGAAUCUACUUUUUCGUGGGGGAUAACGUAGGGAAACUUACGCUAAUACCGCAUACGACCUAUGGGUGAAAGCAGGGGAUCUUCGGACCUUGCGCGAUUGAAUGAGCCGAUGUCGGAUUAGCUAGUUGGCGGGGUAAAGGCCCACCAAGGCGACGAUCCGUAGCUGGUCUGAGAGGAUGAUCAGCCACACUGGAACUGAGACACGGUCCAGACUCCUACGGGAGGCAGCAGUGGGGAAUAUUGGACAAUGGGCGCAAGCCUGAUCCAGCCAUACCGCGUGGGUGAAGAAGGCCUUCGGGUUGUAAAGCCCUUUUGUUGGGAAAGAAAAGCGGCAGGUUAAUACCCCGCUGUUCUGACGGUACCCAAAGAAUAAGCACCGGCUAACUUCGUG
rnacentral:rRNA from 1 species